rnacentral:rRNA from 1 species
GAUGAACGCUGGCGGCGUGCCUAAUACAUGCAAGUCGAGCGAACGGACGAGAAGCUUGCUUCUCUGAUGUUAGCGGCGGACGGGUGAGUAACACGUGGAUAACCUACCUAUAAGACUGGGAUAACUUCGGGAAACCGGAGCUAAUACCGGAUAAUAUUUUGAACCGCAUGGUUCAAAAGUGAAAGACGGUCUUGCUGUCACUUAUAGAUGGAUCCGCGCUGCAUUAGCUAGUUGGUAAGGUAACGGCUUACCAAGGCAACGAUGCAUAGCCGACCUGAGAGGGUGAUCGGCCACACUGGAACUGAGACACGGUCCAGACUCCUACGGGAGGCAGCAGUAGGGAAUCUUCCGCAAUGGGCGAAAGCCUGACGGAGCAACGCCGCGUGAGUGAUGAAGGUCUUCGGAUCGUAAAACUCUGUUAUUAGGGAAGAACAUAUGUGUAAGUAACUGUGCACAUCUUGACGGUACCUAAUCAGAAAGCCACGGCUAACUACGUGCCAGCAGCCGCGGUAAUACGUAGGUGGCAAGCGUUAUCCGGAAUUAUUGGGCGUAAAGCGCGCGUAGGCGGUUUUUUAAGUCUGAUGUGAAAGCCCACGGCUCAACCGUGGAGGGUCAUUGGAAACUGGAAAACUUGAGUGCAGAAGAGGAAAGUGGAAUUCCAUGUGUAGCGGUGAAAUGCGCAGAGAUAUGGAGGAACACCAGUGGCGAAGGCGACUUUCUGGUCUGUAACUGACGCUGAUGUGCGAAAGCGUGGGGAUCAAACAGGAUUAGAUACCCUGGUAGUCCACGCCGUAAACGAUGAGUGCUAAGUGUUAGGGGGUUUCCGCCCCUUAGUGCUGCAGCUAACGCAUUAAGCACUCCGUCUGGGGAGUACGACCGCAAGGUUGAAACUCAAAGGAAUUGACGGGGACCCGCACAAGCGGUGGAGCAUGUGGUUUAAUUCGAAGCAACGCGAAGAACCUUACCAAAUCUUGACAUCCUUUGACAACUCUAGAGAUAGAGCCUUCCCCUUCGGGGGACAAAGUGACAGGUGGUGCAUGGUUGUCGUCAGCUCGUGUCGUGAGAUGUUGGGUUAAGUCCCGCAACGAGCGCAACCCUUAAGCUUAGUUGCCAUCAUUAAGUUGGGCACUCUAAGUUGACUGCCGGUGACAAACCGGAGGAAGGUGGGGAUGACGUCAAAUCAUCAUGCCCCUUAUGAUUUGGGCUACACACGUGCUACAAUGGACAAUACAAAGGGCAGCGAAACCGCGAGGUCAAGCAAAUCCCAUAAAGUUGUUCUCAGUUCGGAUUGUAGUCUGCAACUCGACUACAUGAAGCUGGAAUCGCUAGUAAUCGUAGAUCAGCAUGCUACGGUGAAUACGUUCCCGGGUCU